UCCUUUUAAAUCCAGAUAUAAUGGCUGUGAUGUAAGAUUAUUGCUGUACAUUAUUUUAAUCCCAAUGUGACUGAAUCUAAUCACAUAUCAUCAGCAUAUAAAGCCUGCUGCAGCAGGAGAUUGUACAGGAGGGACCUGGUCCUCUACGGUGAGGACGAGCUGUUUUCAAAGAUUCAUGGUCAAACUGAGCAUAAAACAGAUGUUUGAAUUAUGGAUGUCUAAUGUGGUGAAAGGAAAGAAACAUUACAGAAAUAUAGAUUUGAAAACAAGACUGUGGUUUCCUGAAUGACUGCAAAUAUUUAAGCUUUAGUUCAGAUUAGCUUUUAGCUCUCCCCCGGCUAACCUUUGACUAUCUCAGUUAUAUAUUUGGCUGACCUUUAACUAAGUUUGACCUGUCUUCUUAACUUAAGUGUGUGGCCUGUCUGCCUGUCUGCUGUGUAAUCAGUGUCAUCCCACUCACCUGUGUCCUGUCAUUACCUGUUCAUUAGUCUCACUGUUGUCACCUGGGUAUGAAUACCUCCCUCCCUCAGGUCAUGGAGAGUCCAUGUGGUCUGUGUCUGUGCAGCUGAUGGACAUGUCCUGUGCAGCACGAAAUGAGACCUUCCAAUAACACUGCAUCACACGGAAAAUGUUACGACACAUGAAACAUAGAGCACCGAUGUCCCAGAGGAAACCAACGCUCAAAUGUCUCUACGAUCCCUCUCUGCCGCUCACGGCUGGUUGCUUGUGUACAGUUGUAACACACAGACGUGGAGGCUGGUUUAAUCACAGUUCACAGACUCUUCUGACGUCUUAUUACGAGAGGUGAUAAGAGGUUUCAGCCAACACUGGAGCUGCUUUAUCUCCACAUACAACGUGCAGCCAUUCAACCAAAUGGGACGUCAUUGUAUUUGACUUGUAUUUGACUUACUAACUACCACUUAACACAAAGGGGAGGGGAUGUGUCUGAUUGGAAUGUCAAUUAAAAACCCCACUGACGUGUGAGUCACCGUGCUGUUUUUCUGAUUUGGUAUGUGAGAAGUACUUUUAAAAAAUGUCAUUGUGGAAUCCCCUUUCUCUUGAUAACACUUCCUUAUUAUGUGAGAAUUAGAGAUCAAGGACAAAAUGUGCCAUUCAUUUACAUGUCCAGUCUGACAAUCCAGGACAGAUGUUGUCCUGCUAACAUGUCUUUAAUGUUCCAGGUGAAAGACAUGUUUGUGUUGGGGAGUCACCAGACCUCUGAUCUGUGUGUUUGUACAUUCUUGGGCUAUUUUUGUUUACCAUAUCUGCGUUUGUGUCACUUCUGCACGUUAAGAUUUACGACUGGAAACAUGUGAGAGCCCUCGACGGUUUCAUCAUUCUCCUUGCCCUUGUAAUGUAAAUGUCAUUUGCUUUAAUUAAUGCUCCAAAAAGCCUGGCCUGCAUCCAAAAGAAACCAGUGAUCAGUCACGGUCUCCGCAAAUGGUUUAAGGAUGCAGACCAUGAAGCACUUACAGCAGGUUCCCCUCUGCCCUUCGCUGAAGGACACAUUUUUCACACGGUGAGAAUGGACGCAGGACGUUUACAGAGGAAAUUAAAACUGUCAAUGGGGUUAGAGCCACAUGUGAUUGUUCGACAUUUAACCCAAGUCCUUUUCCAUUUUCGAACGCUCUCUAA